AACGAACGCUGGCGGCAUGCCUAACACAUGCAGGUCGAACGAGACCUUCGGGUCUAGUGGCGCACGGGUGCGUAACGCGUGGGAACCUGCCCUUAGGUUCGGAAUAACUCCCCGAAAGGGGUGCUAAUACCGGAUAAUGUCUUCGGACCAAAGAUUUAUCGCCUUUGGAUGGGCCCGCGUUGGAUUAGCUAGUUGGUAGGGUAAAAGCCUACCAAGGCGACGAUCCAUAGCUGGUCUGAGAGGAUGAUCAGCCACACUGGGACUGAGACACGGCCCAGACUCCUACGGGAGGCAGCAGUGGGGAAUAUUGGACAAUGGGCGAAAGCCUGAUCCAGCAAGGCCGCGUGAGUGAUGAAGGCCUUAGGGUUGUAAAGCUCUUUUACCCGGGACGAUAAUGACAGGACCGGGAGAAUAAGCUCCGGCUAACUCCGU
rnacentral:rRNA from 1 species